CCUACGGGAGGCAGCAGUGAGGAAUAUUGGUCAAUGGACGAGAGUCUGAACCAGCCAAGUAGCGUGAAGGAUGACUGCCCUAUGGGUUGUAAACUUCUUUUAUAAAGGACUAAAACGAGGCACGUGUGCCUUUUUGCAUGUACUUUAUGAAUAAGGAUCGGCUAACUCCGUGCCAGCAGCCGCGGUAAUACGGAGGAUCCGAGCGUUAUCCGGAUUUAUUGGGUUUAAAGGGAGCGUAGAUGGGUUGUUAAGUCAGUUGUGAAAGUUUGCGGCUCAACCGUAAAAUUGCAAUUGAUACUGGCAGUCUUGAGUACAGUUGAGGUAGGCGGAAUUCGUGGUGUAGCGGUGAAAUGCUUAGAUAUCACGAAGAACCCCGAUUGCGAAGGCAGCUUACGAAACUGCGACUGACAUUGAUGCUCGAAAGUGUGGAUAUCAAACAGGAUUAGAUACCCUUGUAGUC
rnacentral:rRNA from 1 species